UAAUUGAAGAGUUUGAUCAUGGCUCAGAUUGAACGCUGGCGGCAGGCCUAACACAUGCAAGUCGAGCGGCAGCACAAGGGAGUUUACUUCUGAGGUGGCGAGCGGCGGACGGGUGAGUAAUGCCUAGGGAUCUGCCCAGUCGAGGGGGAUAACAGUUGGAAACGACUGCUAAUACCGCAUACGCCCUACGGGGGAAAGGAGGGGACCUUCGGGCCU
rnacentral:rRNA from 1 species